CGGAGGGACACUUAUAUCCAUAUCCCUUUGGAGUAACUCUGGACAAUAGAGUGCUCCAGAGUUGGUAAUGUUCAGUGAAAUAUACUUCUAUAUUUUACUUGCAUACCAUACUAGUAUCUUCAUGCUCCUUGGUUAAGAGGACAACUAACUCAUAUGGCACACAAUGACCUACACUUGAUAUAAUUAUCAUUCUUAUAAUAAAUAUAUCAUUUGAUCGUGAAC
rnacentral:lncRNA from 1 species